rnacentral:pre_miRNA from 1 species
UGGACAAAUUAUUGUAUUCGACUGUAUUCACGGCGUGAAACAGGGGUUUACACGGCGUGAAAUAGGGGAUUACACUGUUUUAAACGGAAAGUGAAUCGAUUAACAUAAUAGACUCCU